rnacentral:lncRNA from 1 species
AAAGAGAAGUGUUGGCGCCAGGUCAGGCAACCUGUGCUGAGCAGGCAAGCACUGAUUGGUUGACCUAGGCCUUCCUUUUCGGGGAGAACUGGCAUAGAAAUUUAGUAAAGUUUUGUUUUGCUGAUGUGAGGCUUAGCAUGAGUGACUCCAUCUUGAGCCUAAUGUGGUUUCUUUAACACUGGGAAGCCAACAUCUUCAGGGGCAUCCACCCACACGUCCUCAACCCACGUAGCAGAGUCCCGCGUUACCCCAAAUAGCGCUCUGACCUUGACAUAAACUGCCUCAGCUGAGCGUUCCAUCAUCUUUGAAGGCAGUAACACCAGAUGUUGACCUCAUUUGCAUCAGUAGUAUGAACACCUUCUAUACUAAACAAGAAGAUUAGCCCUGAGCUAACAUCUGCUGCCAAUCCUCACCUUUUUUUCUGAGGAAGACUGGCCCUGAGCUAACAUUCGUGCUCAUCUUCCUCUACUUUAUAUGUGGGACGCCUGCCACAGCAUGGCUCAACAAGCAGUGCAUGGGUCUGCACCCAGGAUCCGAACUGCUGAACCCCGGGCUGCCGAAGCAGAACAUGUGAACUCCACUGCUGCACCAGCAGGUGGGAGUCAAGAGAGUGCACACAGAAUAUAAAGCCCCUUCUCAGGAACACAUUUGCUAGCUGCAGCUCUGCAGGACCCAGGGUCGCAAGGCAGUGGAAAAAGAGCAAGAACAGAAUAAUACAAUCGCUCUUAAAGCUUAUGCCCAGAUGUGGGAUAUGUCAUUGCUGCUCAAAUUCCACUGGCCAAUUCCUCUAGCAGCACUACCAUUCAAGAGUUUACAAAAUGGUCAUCUAUUGACGUGGUAUCCCAUACAGUAUUGCCUAAAAUCAAUGGACCCCUGUUAUUGCAAAGGAGUUGCACAUGACCAC